rnacentral:lncRNA from 1 species
AUUUGAGCUUCCUUGUUUAAAAAACAUGUGAGGAGUUCUAUUCUUAGCGACACUUGCCUGUUCCAAAGAUGUCAACAAUGGUCUAAUGACUUCCUGGGCAGGCCACACAUCCCAGGCCAAGACCAAUUACUGGAACAUACCCUCCAACAUUUCUCCGUUGAAAUAGGGACGUCCCAUUCCAUAAUGAUAAUUUUACUAUUUAUACCCCACACAUCCUACUGAGUUGCCCCAGCCACUCUGGGCAGCUUCUAACAUAUAUAAAAACAUAAUAAAACAUUUUAAAACUUCCCUAUACAGGGAGUGGUUAGAUAACUCCAUACCCUCCAACAUUUCUCCAAUGAAAAUAGGAACAUCCUACCAUACCAUCCAACAUUCCUCCAAUGAAAAUAGAGACAUCCUAAGCAAAAGUGGGACAUUCCAGGAUCAAAUCAGAAACUGGGAUGGCUCCUCUAAGUCAGGGACCUCCCUGGAAAAUAGGGAGACUUGGAGGAUCUGCUGGAAGGAGGAGCGGCAUUGUUUGGCUUGAGCGUGAUGCAGCUCAGGCAGGCAGCUUGCCAACAUCUGUAGCCUAAACAGAGCAGAGCAAGCAAGUUGCAAGCAGCGAACAGAGAAGGCAACAGAGGAGCAUUCUGCUCAUGGCUCCCGAAGCAAAACAAAACUGCAAGUAUGUCACAUUUCCAAAAGUUUUUGGGUCUCAUCUAUCUAUCUUGGGAGACAAUUGAAGAAUGUGCCUUCGGGGGUGAAGUCAAACCAUUGAAGAGUUACAGUGCCUGUUGUGGCUGUAGAGACUGAUAUGGGAGAGACAUGUUUUGUUUGCUUUCCAAAAGUAAUAAAAUAAAAUAAAAUAUUGGGAUAAAUUUGGCCAUUUAACAAAAAAUAUUGUCACAAGUAGAGAUUUGCUUCAGUAUGUCCAAUCCUUACAAAAGUUGCUGAAUGGUUUUAGGAUUAAGUGUUGAUUUAUGACCUUUCCCCAGAAAAACGACUCUCCCUGCCCAAAUAAAUCCUACUGAUAGUUGUAUCAUAAAAUGUUAUUCAUCCCCUUUCCACUGCUUUUUGCCUGCCUCUGAAAUACAUUGAAAUGCCUACUGUGAAACUUGUAAAUGCAUCAAGAAACAAAGCAGCAGGUCUAAAAUAAGAAAUCUCAUAAAUUAUUGUGGAGCUGGUUCAGCUCCCUCCAGCUAAAUCAACAAUUGCACUUUAGCUGUACUUGGCUCUUGGUGAAAGAAAAUAAGCAUUCAACAUCUCCAUAUGAGGUCACACAUCCCAUGGAUCAAAAUGCAACUUUAGCUGGACUGGUCCAUAAGCUAUAACACCCCUCCUCUGUUAUAGCAUGAGAUUCCUGUAUGUACCUAGGGAACUCUAUCACUAGAUCUCAGCCAAUGGCUUUUUACUCAGGGGGUGUUCACACUAAUGCCACCUCCACAUCCAGUGCUAGUUUUUGAAACUACAGUCACAUGUUAGCCACAAUCCAUAUUCAUCCUGUAUUGCUGUCUGAUGCAUUUUUCCCCCUCAAACCAACUUCAGUCCGACCAGAAAACUGGAUGUGGAUAAGCAGUAAUGUGGACAUAACUAACAGCCACCAUACUUGGGCAAAUGAGAACACACGCACAGAUAACAGCUUCAUGAAGAGUUUGUGGUGGGGAGGAGGAACCAAAACAUCAUGCGCAUUGGGUGGAAACUUCCUCACCUUCUUUCUGAUGUGAACAAACUGUGAAUGCAGUUUGAAAGGCUAAUGUGUAUAUAUCCUAAUAAUCUCUGGAACAGAUUUCAGAUUUCAUGGGGGAGUCUUCAAUGGGGCAAAAGGAAUCACCACAAACUGUCACCUUCCUCGUUUUCCUGAUGGACGUUGAACAUCACCCCAAGAUUCCAUAAAUAUCCUGAAAUGUAAUUAUUAAAUGAAAAAUAGAAAAGACUGACCGGGUGUACUGGCUUGACAUGAUAUAAGCUUGCUCUGGAGCAUCUGUUGUAUCACGCUCAGAGAAAGGAUCCUGUGGCUGAUUAACCCAUGUUUCUACUUCCCCUGGCAAUGAAUUGAUUGUUUCCUUAGUACAGGGAUGUCCAGCAGGUCAAUCGUGAUCUACUGGUAGAUCCCUGUGAGGUUUUGGUAGAUAUCUGGCUCCCUUUCCUUGUUGUUGUUGUUUAGUCAUUUAGUCAUGUCCGACUCUUCAUGACCCCAUGGACCAGAGCACGCCAGGCACUCAUGGAUCACUGCCUUGCCGUGGCGAAGGGGCUUGAAUAACUCAGAGGAGCUAUGAACUAUGCCAAGCAGGGCACCCAGGUCAUAGUGGAGAGUUUUGACCAAACGUGAUCCACCUGGAGCAGGAACCGGCAAGCCACUCUAGUAUCCCUGCCAAGAUAACUCCCUUUCCUUAGCAUUGCUAAAACUGACUCUUGCCCUGCCCUCUUGCCCCACCCUCCAUUGUUGUAUGAUCUCUGGAAGACAGGGCUUUCUCUGUGCUGCUGUUUUGAUCCAUAGCAAUCUUUUUGUGAGUGACUUUACCCUUUUUCCCCAUGCCUUUAACCCCCCCAAAAAAUAAAUCACCCCAAAAGCUUAUUUUUAACCCCUAAAAAACCGGGGUUCUACUCCUCCCUUAAAAAAAAGCUCAGAAACUUUGAGCUGAAACCCCCCCCAAAAAAAACAGGGGUAGAUCACUGCCAGUUUAUAAUUCUGAAAGUAGAUCGCAGUCUCUUGAGAGAUGGCCACCCCUGCCUUAGUAUAAUGACUGCUUCAAUUCUCCACUGGUUAAAUGCAAAGCAUUACGUCAGAGGAUUUUGGGAAUAUUAUUUCUUAUGUGGUGGUUCUUGCUGCAGCAGAAGCCAUAUAAGAAAACAGUUAUGUGUAGCUUGGAAUGACUAAUUAUUCAAAGGCGAUCUUGUUCUUUAUAGGUGGAAAGCUGAUCCAACUACUGCGCCACGUUGAUGGAGGUUCUCCCCAUGAUCUGAAUUAUUUCAUAGAGAAGGUAUUCAGACUAUGUUACCAGUAGAGAACUCAGCCUUAUUAGGCUGAGACAGGCUUCUCAGAGGCUACAUUUUUCCACAUUCCAAGAAAGAUUGUGGAUAAUCCUUAAGCAGCCAAAAAUUACCUUUUAUGCAAAGCUAAGCUAUAAAAUACACAUUUUUUCUUAAAAAAAAAUAAUCCAAAUGACAUAACCUAUUAAGAGAAAUGUAUCACAACAUUGCACAGAUGUCAGAGUGGCGACUGUGAGAUUUUUGCCUUGCUCUGGCAUGUGUGACACAACAUGCUUCUUUAAACCAUCUGGUUGUAGCUUUCUAAAAUUAUCCCAUGGCCUGGUGCAGUGGUAACUGAGAUAAACUGCUGAGUGGUGUGUCAGCGUUGGCCCAUGUUUCCUUACAGUACUGUGUGUGAGCAGAAGUGUGGUGAAUGUUGACAUUUACCAGUAAUUCUGAAUAAUUUCAGAGGUCAAUGUCAGAACUCUAUGGAAGACUAUAGUGCAAGCAUGGGGAUCCUUUGGCCCUCCAGAUGUUCCUGAACUACAACUCCCAUCAGGGGUGGUGGGAACUGUAGUUCAACAACAUCUAGAGGGUGUGAAGUUUCCUAUAUAUAUUUGCUCAAGUGAAGAUUGAGGCUGACUAAGUGGCUACAAUAAAUGUCCAAAAAUUAUUCACAUUUCCCUCAUUGACUGCGAAUUGGCAUUUACUGUGCCAUGAACAAUAAUAAUAAUAAUAAUAAUUUAUUAUUUAUACCCCACCCAUCUGGCUGAGUUUCCCCAGCCAUUCUGGGCGGCUCCCAAUCAAGUGUUAAAAACAAUACAGCAAGUAAAUACCAAAACUGAGCUUCAUGACACAAACAUGUCUGAUAUUUUCUGCUGGAUUUUCUAUCAAUUUAAGAAUUGCCAGUGAAAUGUUUGGCAGUAAAAGUCACCAAAUUCUGGAUAUUUACUGUAACUCACAAGCACGAUCAGACAUGGCAACCUGAGGCAGCUGAAACAGAAAGCUUUAAAGAAAGGUUUGGACUGCAUGGGUAGGCAAACUAAGGCCCGGGGCCGGAUCCAGCCCAAUCAUCUUCUAAAUCCAGCCCGUGGAUGGUCCAGGAAUCAGUGUGUUUUUACAUGAGUAGAAUGUGUCCUUUUAUUUAAAAUGCAUCUCUGGGUUAUUUGUGGGGCAUAGGAAUCUGUUCAUUCCCUCCUCCCCAAAAUAUAGUCCGGCCCCCCACAAGGUCUGAGGGACAGUGGACCGGCCCCCUGCUGAAAAAGUUUGCUUACCCCUGGUUCAGAGUAAUGACAGUGAGAUGAGAAAGGAGAAGGCCACAGUUCAGUAGCAGGGCUCAUCCUUCACAGGCAGGAGGUCCCUCGUUCAAUUCCUGACAUUUCCAAAUAAGGCUGAGAAAGAACUCUGCCUGACACUUUCUAACUACUCCACACAGAGCUACCGUAUUUUUUGCACCAUAACACUCACUUUUUUCCUCCUAGAAAGUAAGGGGAAAUGUCUGUGCGUGUUAUGGAGGGAAUGCCUACGGGUGGCAUGCCUACGGAUUUUCCUCCUCUAAAAACUAUGUGCGUGUUAUGGUCGGGUGCGUGUUAUAGAGCGAAAAAUACGGUACUUCCUUUGUUACCUUAAUGUUCCAUACUUAGAAGGCCAUUAUCUCACCAGGAAGCUAGCCUGGCUAUUAUAGGAAUUGAAUCCCUACUGGAUCCAGGGAUUAGAAGGGAGCUCAUACACACAGCCUACCUCCCCGCAACUCAUAACAAUACUUUUCAUGGUAAUAAAUAGAGACCAUUGGAGUGCAUGGGUAAGUUCAGUACAACUUUCUUCAGAGACUAAUAAUCAAACCUCAUAGCUUUGUAUUUUGUUCCUAGAAAAACAAGCUGCACAGGGCAGAAUGGUAUUGAAUGGUAUGGAGCCCCUAUCACUGGAUUAAUAUUGGGCAUUUGCACCAACUGUACAGUAUACUUGAUUACCUAGAAGGCCUCGCCCAUCCCUCCUAGAAGACUCAUAGAUCAAUAUUCUAAUUGCAUG